GCACUUACAAAAAUACAUAAUUAAAAUGCAUUUUAUAUUUAGAUAGAAUGGAAGAUACAGAUAGUAUUGCAGGUCGAGAGCUACAGUUCCAACCACGUAAGUUUUUGACGCUGAUUGCGAACGUUCGUUUGAACUAUGGUUUCGGGAAACACCGAAUCGUUGAACUAUGCUGGUAACGACGGGACUUGCGACCAUGGUUGGCUAACGAUGCUUUUGGGAAACGCACCCCUGCAUGACUUGCUGUCUUCUGCAGAACACAAUUUUUUAUUUAUUUUUUUUCGUCCAUAGAACUGACGUCUUUGGGUUCUAUUGUUGGCUGGACCUGAAAUUUCUUGAAAAUAUCUACUUCACUGGUUCGAUCUCUGUGGUGCUCAUCCUCCACCUCUUCAUGCCUCCAGCUGCGAUCUUGCCUAUAUCUUUGUCUAGCCAUCAGAGCCGUGUCUCCUGCAGCUGAUUAAAAUCACGGCACACAGACACAAGGACAUUCAUCUGACAGUCACGCAUCCAACGUCACCCGGACACCCUGUCACCUGCAAAGCAGCUCAACAACCUACUAUACAGUAUAUGUUGCCGUUCAAUUGUCACUUCACUCGCUUCUCAUCAUACCCUUACGUUUUUG